rnacentral:rRNA from 1 species
CCUACGGGUGGCAGCAGUCGAGAAUUUUUGACAAUGGGGGAAACCCUGAUCGAGCGACGCCGCGUGGAGGAUGAAGGUCUUCGGGUUGUAAACUCCUGUCAUUUGGGAACUAGUACCAGAAGAGGAAGAGACGGCUAACUCUGUGCCAGCAGCCGCGGUAAUACAGAGGUCUCAAGCGUUGUUCGGAUUCAUUGGGCGUAAAGGGUGCGUAGGUGGCGCCGUAAGUCAGGUGUGAAAUUUCGGAGCUUAACUCCGAAACUGCAUUUGAUACUGCGGUGCUUGAGGACUGGAGAGGAGACUGGAAUUUACGGUGUAGCAGUGAAAUGCGUAGAGAUCGUAAGGAAGACCAGUGGCGAAGGCGGGUCUCUGGACAGUCCUGACACUGAGGCACGAAGGCCAGGGGAGCAAACGGGAUUAGAUACCCUUGUAGUC